AUUUAACAAGCUGAUUGCUCAAUAAUAUUUUCUCCAGCAUCAUUUAAGACCAUAACCAACCCAGAAUAUAUUACUAAUAUGCUAUCUUGUUAACCUGGAAAUUUUCUUCGUAGCAUCAAUUGAUAAUCCUUUAAAAUAUGCUAUCUUGUUAACCUGGAAAUUUUGAUAAUCCUUUAAAAUAUGCUAUCUUGUUAACCUGGAAAUUUUAAUCUUAGCAUCACUUGAUAUAAUCCAUUCAGGAACUCCAACCAACAAAACAUCAUGAUAUAAUUUAUUCAGGAACUCCAACCAACCAAACAUCACUUGAUAUAAUCCAUUCAGGAACUCCAACCAACCAAAGAAAAUUUAAAAUAUGCUACUAGUUUUAUCUGGAAAUUAUGAUUAUUCAAUAAAUCAAUUAAUUUUUUUAAAGCAAAAUGCCCAAUACAAAUUUAUAAAAUCUAAAUUUAAUAAAAAUAUACUAUUUUCUAAUAAUUAUUUAUAUUCUCAAAAUAGAGAAAACUAUUAUAUGCAUACCAAUGACAAAUGUCAUUGAUGCUUACAUAGAUAUUUAUUAAUUAUUAGGUUUUUACCUAAAAAUUCACAUCACUCUUUUUCAAUAUUAUGAUCAUGCUGUUAAAAUUUUCAUUUUUUAAUGCUUUUUAUACCAAAUUUACACCAUUUUAUAUAAUAUUGAUAUGCAAAAAGUAAUUACCAUAAUUUUAUAUAUUACUAUUGAAAUACAAAUUGCAAUCAUUAUUUUAUAAACCACCUAUUGAUAUACAAAUUGUAAUCAUCAUUUUCUAUACAAUUAGUAUUCAAUUGCAAUAUAUACAAAUAUUUAUACACCACCAUCAAUA